CCCGUGUGUUCAGCUAACACCGGGAGAUGAUUGGGUGGUGAUUGAUGGCGGGUGGCGAAGAAUAGCACAAAGGAAAGGUGAAAGUGACCCGAGAGUCAGCUGUUAAGAUAGACAUAAAGGGAAGCCCUCUGACGUGGAUGUGUGUCGAGCCCCGCAACGGCUGAGGACAGACCACCACGUGCCAGAUGUGGCUUUUUCUACACCGACCUCUGCAAGGAAGCUGGAAAUCAUCAAUUAUGGUCCCGGACUGGGAUUUGAGAUGGGGAACCGGAGCAAGGUCUGUUGCUCCCGUCUGAGAGAAGAGCAUAUGGAAUUCAUCCACCACAUACAUCUAUUUUUCAUCAUCACCCUCCUCUCCUUUCUCCGUUGUUGUGCUGAGUUUCUAAUGGGACUCUGCGUUGACCGGUGGGCCAUUUUUUACGCCAAAUGCUCUGCACUCCCUCAUCCUCAUCUUUCCCUUCCAUUUAGCAAGGUCUGGGAACGGCUCCUGUCUUUUUAAAGUGUCUUGAAACCAUUCCAGGUCGUAGCUCAAAGAGGCAACUUCUUGAAAAAUCAAGUUUUGGAAUGCAGAAAUCGUGUCAGUUAUUAAACUCUUAGAUGUAAAACUGGGUCAAAAUUUUGUCCCAGUUGGUCUGUAUCAAUUUUCGCCAUUGCAUUUUCCAAGCAUUCCUAUGAAAAUCUUGAUCACUCACUUUAUCUACCUAUUCUACUUAAUAAAAUAACGUUAUAGCUAUAGUAUUUUACACUGCUAACGUUGCUGUGGCUAUGGUGUACUG